rnacentral:lncRNA from 1 species
UGACUCCGUCUUGCUCUUGCUUAGAUAAACAUACACAAAGGGCAUUAGGGAGUCUGAACCCAAUCCCCUCAUAAACUCCCUUUCUGUGGUACGCUCCCCUUUCUCUCCCCUCUUCUCUCCCGCUCCUCGCUCUUCUCUCUCGCUCCUUGCUCCUCUUUCUCUCUCUCUCUUGCGCUAUUUCUCCCCCCCUCUCUUUCCUCUCCUUUCAUGUUUGUCAUCCUCUCUGUCAUAUCUCUGGCAGAGCCUGUAGCCUCUGAUUCAGAAAGUGAUUUCGUUUUUAAAAUUCAAGGAAUGUAAGCUGCCCAGUGGCCAUUUUCAAGGUCCUAUUUAUGCAAGAAUUAUUAUAUAUAUUUUUUUUCUCCACUUUUUGCCCCUCCCCCGCACAUAUUUAAAAAGUAGAAGGAAAUGACUUGAAACAGCAUACAAAAAUUAGGGAAAUUAGGAGUUGAUUGACAGGAGCAAGGAGAAAGCUCUCCAUUGAAACCUGUAGAUUUCUGUAAACAAAGCCUGGUGAACAAGGCCUGUUGUUUUAAGCAUAGCUGACGUUGCCAAACUUAGAUUGUUUGUUGCUGACCCCGUAUGAAAAAGAGAGCGCGAGUGGUGGGGAAACAAAAGUGUGAAAGGCCCGGCGCCCGGCGGCCUGUUGCCGUGGUUGUGGAUAUGUUAGCUCUCAGACAAAAACACAAUCCUGUUUUUCUGUGGGCUAGUCUCCUCAACUAGUUGUUUCAAAUGAAAAAAUGUCUGUUUGUUAAUAACACUUUGCAUUAGGUUACCAGUUAUGCAGGGUUUGUAAGUAAGCUAAUGAAUUAGGCUACUUUGCUUUGGACUAACAGAGGGACAGCAGGUGGACUAGCGGUUGCUAGUUCGAAUCACCGAGCCGACAAGGUGAAAAAUCCUUGAACAAAGCAGUUAACCCCCCAACAACAUCAGCUCUCUCAGGCACCCGAUGUGGCAGCCCCUCGCACCCCUCCCAUUCAGAGGGCUUGAGCUAAGGUACCCAGUGUGGCAGGCCCUCACACCCCUCCCAUUCAGAGGGCUUGAGCUAAGGUACCCAGUGUGGCAGGCCCUCACACCCCUCCCAUUCAGAGGGCUUGAGCUAAGGUACCCAGUGUGGCAGCCCCUCGCACCCCUCCCAUUCAGAGGGCUUGAGCUAAGGUACCCAGUGUGGCAGCCCCUCGCACCCCUCCCAUUCAGAGGGCUUGAGCUAAGGUACCCAGUGUGGCAGUCCCU